UACGGAGGGUGCAAGCGUUGUCCGGAUUUAUUGGGUUUAAAGGGUGCGUAGGCGGCUUUUUAAGUCAGUGGUGAAAGACAACAGCUCAACUGUUGCAGUGCCAUUGAUACUGAAGAGCUUGAGUACAGAUGAGGUAGGCGGAAUUUAUGGUGUAGCGGUGAAAUGCAUAGAUACCAUAAAGAACACCUAUUGCGAAGGCAGCUUACUAGCUGUAACUGACGCUGAGGCACGAAAGUGUGGGGAUCAAACAGG
rnacentral:rRNA from 1 species